UCCUUGAAUUAAUGCGACACCGGAUUCUACUUUGCAAUGAAGUUAUUGCAGUCUCCAGUAGCUGAUUAAAAUGUAUAAUGUAUUCAAUCCAGUUUCACAUAAUAGAAUCGUAUCGUCGUCAGUGUUCAAAUAUGUACCAAGUGUGCUACAAAGUUUCCGCAAUUAGCUUUCGAGGACUAUAAAACCACGUCCAAAUUCCGAGAGAAGAUACAGACCAGGAAAGGCAGAUUGGUGCCAAAUCUGGAGAGAUUUGUUGUUCCCACUUGACCUCGACUUCUCUCUCCCUCUGGCCAUGAGGUUGGGUUUCUUACUUGAUAAUUGCUAAGUAAUCUAGGCGGAAUUAAUGCGGAAUUAAAACAAAAUGUCUUACGUAAAGAUACUUAAUUCAUCAUGAUGAAUUAAUUAAUUAUUGCUCUCGUUUCUUCUUGUGCCAAUAUCUUGUUUCAUAUUAAAAUUUUUAGCUAGGGAUCAGGAUGAAUUAAUAAAAUCAAAUGUUGCAUUCAUUCAUUUACGCGUAUGAAUUAAUUCAAGACGUAUUUGUUUCACCAUUCAUGUAUCUAUGUAUAUGCAACUGUCCAAUACUUGUGUUGAUACCUACCAGUGUACUCCCAAGCAAAAAAGCAGAGCAUUUUGCUUUUUGCUGUUUUGCUGGACACAGCAGGUUUCGUAAUUAUAACCCCUCUUUCCCCGAACGAAUAUGUGUAUCUUAAACAUAGAUUUGAUCCAUAGUCUGUAUUCAUAGUAAAUAAAAUAAAUCAGUACCACCUCAACUUUA